UACGAAGGGGGGCGAGCGUUGUCCGGAUUUACUGGGCGUAAAGGGCGUGCAGGCGGUUUGUUAAGUGCAGGGUGAAAGCUCCCGGCUCAACUGGGAGAGGUCCUUGCAUACUGGCGAACUCGAGGGAGGCAGAGGAAAGUGGAAUUCCCGGUGUAGUGGUGAUAUGCGUAGAUAUCGGGAGGAACACCUGUGGCGAAGGCGGCUUUCUGGGCCUUACCUGACGCUGAGACGCGGAAAGCGUGGGGAGCGAACAGG
rnacentral:rRNA from 1 species